UUGCCUGCUUAUCAAAAACAUGUUUGUUUGUAGUUAUAGAUGAUUUAGCCUGCCCCCUGAUAAAUGAAUUAAAGGGCCGCAGUAUUUUAACUGUGCAAAGGUAGCAUAAUCAUUAGGUUUUUAAUUGGAAUCUUGUAUGAAUGGCUGGACAAAAGAAAAUCUUUCUUUGUAUUAAACUUUGAAUUUAACUUUUAAGUGAAAAGGCUUAAAUAUUUCAAGGGGACGAUAAGACCCUAUAAAACUUUACAUUGUAGUCAAGAUUUAAUUUGAUUUAAAAUAAGAGUUUAAUUAGAUUAUUUGUUAUGUUGGGGAGACACAGGUAAAAUUUUUUUAUUUUAACUGCUUUAGAAAUUUAACAAUUAUUAUUGAGGUGUAAUAGGUCCUUUUUAAAGAUUAAUAAGUUAAGUUACUUUAGGGAUAACAGCGUAAUUUCUUUUAAGAGUUCUUAUCGAAAAAGAAGAUUGCGACCUCGAUGUUGAAUUAAAAUAUCUAUAUAAUGGAGAAGUUAUAUAAGAAGGUCUGUUCGACCUUUAAAUUUUUACAUGAUUUGAGUUCAAACCGGCGUGAGCCAGGUUGAUUUCUAUCUCUUC
rnacentral:rRNA from 1 species